UUACCACCUAGGUUCUAUCAAUGACAUUGAGUGGAACAGUGAAGAGCUUGGUGUACAAAAGUCUGCAAUACGAAGAUCCUAUUCUAUCCCUGAGAUGGAAGACUGUGAAGAAAAUGAGAGCCCAUUGCUCAUACCAGAACUAGAUUUGAAAGAACCCAAGUUAGCGACAACGCCUGAAUCAGCAUUGACUCCAGCGAAAUGGUGUCCCGGUAGAUGCAAGGAGAAGUGUGCAGAAGGCGAGAGACGUGGACCAAGAGUGAUCUGCCAAGUUCAUACCUAUAUCUACUGUUGUAGAAAAGGAACAUGAGAGAAGACUGUAUGUAAGAGUGAACAUCCCAGGUGAAUACACACGGAGCGUGAAAAAUCUGCCAUUUCAAGCAGGACUCAAGAUGGUUGGGGAUUAAGAUCCGGAGAAGAAAUAAAACAAUCAAACAAUUAAAAUAUUUUUAUAGAAGGAGAGACUGUGCUAUUUCCAUUUCGGCUGCUAGAUCAGAGAAAGAUGUGACACCGGGGGGUGUGGGAUUAGUAAACUGGGACUACUGGA